rnacentral:tRNA from 1 species
GCGAGGGUGGCGGAAUUGGUAGACGCGCUAGAUUUAGGAUCUAGUGAGGAAACUCAUGGGGGUUCAAGUCCCCCCCCUUGCACCA